rnacentral:lncRNA from 1 species
CCCUUGUCCAGAAUACAAAUUUAGUUUCAAAACUUCGACUGUGGGUCGGCGCUCGCCAGAAGUACGAGAUCCGAUGCCUCGACUGGAGCCCCAUGUUCUGUUGAGGAAUCAAUGGCCCGAUCGCCCACGACACAUCGGACGCUUAUGAGGACCGAUAUAUCCACAAUGAUGGGAGUUACACUCCUACAGUCAAACUUUCAGGCAAAAUGAUCGGCUGACUUGCCGACUCGGCCUCGGCCAAGAAAGGCAAAGUGCCAAUGCGACCAAUGUUGCGUUCGCGACUUACCGACC